rnacentral:rRNA from 1 species
AGUGAACGCUGGCGGUAGGCCUAACACAUGCAAGUCGAACGGCAGCACAGUAAGAGCUUGCUCUUACGGGUGGCGAGUGGCGGACGGGUGAGGAAUACAUCGGAAUCUACUUUUUCGUGGGGGAUAACGUAGGGAAACUUACGCUAAUACCGCAUACGACCUACGGGUGAAAGCAGGGGAUCUUCGGACCUUGCGCGAUUGAAUGAGCCGAUGUCGGAUUAGCUAGUUGGCGGGGUAAAGGCCCACCAAGGCGACGAUCCGUAGCUGGUCUGAGAGGGUGACCGGCCACAUUGGGACUGAGAUACGGCCCAGACUCCUACGGGAGGCAGCAGUGGGGAAUAUUGCACAAUGGGCGGAAGCCUGAUGCAGCAACGCCGCGUGCGGGAUGACGGCCUUCGGGUUGUAAACCGCUUUCGCCUGUGACGAAGCGUGAGUGACGGUAAUGGGUAAAGAAGCACCGGCUAACUACGUG